AGCUUUGGGCAGGAGCCCAAAUGCAAACUCUUUCUCUCUCUUCCCCCACGAAUUGAAAUUAGUAAAUGUUUCCAUCAGGCAUUUCAGCGGUGACCUCAGGUCUAGAGCUUGGUGUGCCAUACAAAGCCCACGGGCGCACCAGCCCAGGCAACACAUGCUACAUGCUGCCGAGAGGACAGCCCGCGUGGGACGGGGCGCCUGGGACAGCCAACCACGCUCCUGCACACGGCAAAGCCACAAGGGCUGCAGUGAGAGGGGAUGGCUGCAGGAAGACAUGGAUACAUGCACGAGCACAGAUGGAAAAGGAAGAACCACCUUCAAAUACCUGAGACACACUGCAAUCAUUUAGACAGAUAAACAGCUUGAUUCCUAGAGAUAACAGGACCUGAAUGGUUGGCCUCAAAACCAAGCAUUCGUGACAAUUCUUGAAACAAGAACUUUAUUAGUCUUCAUUUCCACAACAAUUUACAUACAACUGCAAUGAAAACCCUCCUCCCUUUGCAGCUGGAAAAUAUACUGUAAACACACUACCCAAAGCCUUGUCAUAGUUCCUGAACACCAGGAGGUGGAUGGGUGCAUGGGUCCCCUGGGCACAGCUCAGGGUCUAUGUCGGGGCCUGAGACACUGGUUCCUUUGGAUGAAUACCUGGCUGACCUCAGUAUAAACAUCUGAGAUGUGAAAGAAGCAGGAAAGGACAGGAACACUGGAGAUUAGAGCCAAGGCCAAGGGAAGAAAGUCUGCAGGACUUGGUAGUCUGGUAUCAUGGCAAAAAGCUCGCCUUUGAAAGAAGAGCAGGGACUUUCUGAAAAAAAUCUAGUUCUUGCCUGCCAGACAUUUUGUUUCUCUUCACAGGCUGCGAAAGGAGUACAUGGGUCCACCUAAGCAGAUUGCAACUGUGAUGGAAAUUUCCUAGGCUAUCCAUUACAAAAAAACUACCAUGCAUUCACUCUUCUCUCUUCCUCUCCAAAAGGUAGCAGCUGAAAUGAGAGCCAUCAAGAUCUGUCAAGAGGAGAUCUUUCCCUUCAGGAACUGCACCUUGGCUUAUGUGGUCAAGUCACAGGGGGAUUCUGGGGAUGUUGCAGGAGGCUACUACAGCCAAAGAGCUUCUGGGUGCCCUCUUAUUUUUGCAGCAUCCAUCCUGUAAGGGUCUUGCACUCACCACUGUAACAAAACAUUUGCAAAGAGUAAUUUAGAUCUGUCUGCUACAUAUUCAGCUGCACAUGAACAAAAGGCUCUCCUUGUAUUGUGAAUAAUUUCUUCAAAUACCAGGUGUUGCCCGAUUUCUCCAGAACAGCCAACUCCUACAAGUUUGUAGUGAGUAGUCCUACAUACAAUGACUUUUCUCUAAAAUAAUUUUUGUACCCAAGAAGCUCAUCUCUGAUUUAAAGUCAGUUUUUAUCCUCUGUGAAUGCAAGGACCUGAGUGCCUCUGAUGCAAAAACCAGAAGGCAAUUUUUGCCCAGCUCUGCAUACUAAAAUCUCAGGAUUUCUAAAGCCAAUCUCAAGAUUACACUUUUUUGGAUGCUAACAUGACUAUUGUCAAAUAAAAAAGAAACAGCUGUCAGUAUGCAGGUGGUUCACGUAAGUGCUAUAAACCGACAAACCAACUGAA